GGCGGACGGGUGAGUAACGCGUAGGAAUCUGCCCCAUAGUGGGGGACAACGUGUGGAAACGCACGCUAAUACCGCAUACGCCCCAAGGGGGAAAGCGGGGGACCUCCGGGCCCCGCGCUAUGGGAUGAGCCUGCGUAGGAUUAGCUAGUUGGCGGGGUAAGGGCCCACCAAGGCGACGAUCCUUAGCUGGUCUGAGAGGACGAUCAGCCACACUGGGACUGAGACACGGCCCAGACUCCUACGGGAGGCAGCAGUGGGGAAUAUUGGACAAUGGGCGCAAGCCUGAUCCAGCAAUACCGCGUGUGUGAAGAAGGCCUUAGGGUUGUAAAGCACUUUCAAUGGGGAGGAAAACCUGCCGGCCAAUACCCGGCAGCUUGACAUUACCCAUAGAAGAAGCACCGGCUAACUCCGUGCCAGCAGCCGCGGUAAUACGGAGGGUGCGAGCGUUAAUCGGAAUUACUGGGCGUAAAGCGUGCGUAGGCGGCCCGUUAAGUCAGAUGUGAAAGCCCCGGGCUCAACCUGGGAACGGCAUUUGAAACUGGCGGGCUAGAGUUUGGUAGAGGGGAGUGGAAUUUCAGGUGUAGCGGUGAAAUGCGUAGAUAUCUGAAGGAACACCAGUGGCGAAGGCGACUCCCUGGACCAGAACUGACGCUGAGGUACGAAAGCGUGGGUAGCAAACAGGAUUAGAUACCCUGGUAGUCCACGCCGUAAACGAUGUCGACUAGCCGUUGGCCCUAUAUACAGGGUUAGUGGCGCAGCUAACGCAUUAAGUCGCCCGCCUGGGGAGUACGGCCGCAAGGUUAAAACUCAAAUGAAUUGACGGGGGCCCGCACAAGCGGUGGAGCCUGUGGUUUAAUUCGAUGCAACGCGAAGAACCUUACCUAC
rnacentral:rRNA from 1 species